rnacentral:lncRNA from 1 species
UUCAUGAUACAAACUCAACAAAAAAAGGAGAAGUGGUCAGAAAUAAAGAUAGAUUAAUAGUUCAAGGCUAUAAUCAACAUGAAGAUAAUGUAAAAGGAGUUUAUUAUGAGUAUGUGGGUGAAUUGAGAUUUGUUCUUGGCAUUCAAUUUAAUCAAUGCUCUAAUGGAGUGUAUAUACAUCAAAAUAAGUAUACAAAGGAAAUAUUAUUUAUCU